ACUGCUCAGUAACACGUGGACAACCUGCCCUUAGGUUGGGUAUAAACCCGGGAAACUGGGUAUAAUACCCGAUAGGUCUCGAUUGCUGGAAUGCAUCGAGAUUUAAAGCUCCGGCGCCUAAGGAUGGGUCUGCGGCCUAUCAGGUAGUAGUGGGUGUAGCGUACCUACUAGCCUACGACGGGUACGGGUUGUGAGAGCAAGAGCCCGGAGAUGGAUUCUGAGACACGAAUCCAGGCCCUACGGGGUGCAGCAGGCGCGAAAACUUUACAAUGCUGGCAACAGCGAUAAGGGAACCUCGAGUGCCAGGUUACAAAUCUGGCUGUCGAGAUGCCUAAAAAGCAUUUCAUAGCAAGGGCCGGGCAAGACCGGUGCCAGCCGCCGCGGUAACACAAAAAGGCUCGAGUGGUAACCGUUAUUAUUGGGUCUAAAGGGUCUGUAGCCGGCCGGAUAAGUCUCUUGAGAAAUCUGGCAGCUUAACUGUCAGGCUUUCAGGAGAUACUGUCUGGCUCGAGGCCGGGAGAGGUGAGAGGUACUUCAGGGGUAGGGGUGAAAUCUUGUAAUCCUUGAAGGACCACCAGUGGCGAAGGCGUCUCACCAGAACGGACCUGACGGCAAGGGACGAAAGCUAGGGGCACGAACCGGAUUAGAUACCCGGGUAGUCCUAGCCGUAAACGAUACUCGCUAGGUGUCGGCCACGGUGCGACCGUUGUCGGUGCCGUAGGGAAGCCGUGAAGCGAGCCACCUGGGAAGUACGGCCGCAAGGCUGAAACUUAAAGGAAUUGGCGGGGGAGCAC
rnacentral:rRNA from 1 species